GGUGCAAAUCGGCCUACCGCUCUUUCGGGGGAGGAAAGUCCAGACAGCGCAGAGCACCGCACCGUUCGCAAGCACGGGUGUUAGGGGAGGAAUUCCUUGGCAACAGCAAGUGUCACAGAAAAUGACCGUCCCAAUUUAUUGGGGUAAGGGUGAAAAUGUGAGGUAAGAGCUCACGCGUCCCGAUAGUAAUAUCGGGAUGGGACAAACCUUGCGGGCUGCAAGACCAAAUAGGUCAGGAUUUAAGGGUGGCUCGCCCUUUCCUGAUGGGUAGGUUGCAUAGAUAAAUGGUAGGCUAAAACAGGAUCUGGCUUACGGGUUUGCAAAAAAC
rnacentral:RNase_P_RNA from 1 species